GGAAAUUAGAUCAGUAUACUGCAAGCCGCCCUCCGCGCGCCCGCAUACAUACGCACCCAUUUUUUUAUCUCGAAAACGCGAUUGGACGUCGGUUAGUGCUUUUAGUUAUGUGUACGACUUUUUUUUUGUUUUUUUUUUUUAUUAUUGCACUUUUGAGGAAGGAACAAGGAUCGAAAUGUUUCUAAAAAGAAAACUCUGGAAAUACCAAACGCUACAAGAUCGGAGUCAAAAUGAAGGUUACUGAGAGUUUUGGGUAAGAUACAAUUUCCUUACAUAAAAUUGGAAACUACACAUACCUACAAUUUUGCAUGGUUUACCAGUGAAUGUAAAAUAUGAAAGGAAUGAAGAAUUCAAUGUGAUUGAACCACUGUCUUUAUCUUUAAAUAAAUAUCAUCUCUGAACUAUUCUACUGCAAGACAACAGGCCUCUCGAAUGACCAUAAAGAAAAGUAAUCCUCGUAAAAACGACAUCUACUUUCAUAUUAGAGUAUUCUAAAAAGUUCGUAAACGUAUUAAAAUCGGU